GAGUUCCUGAUUUUAUCCUAAAGCAUUUAGUCUCGGCUGAUGUUUCUUGAUGUGAAGGUUUUUGCCAGUAAAUGUUAAUUCAUGUAAACUAUUUUU